AAAGAGCUCACAUUAUUUUGUAUUUACUGGUUUUUAUUGAUUUGGUCAAAAUGGAGCGAUACAAGCAAAUGAAGGAAAGACCGACGAAAUCAUUAUUUCAAAAGACGUACAAAGAGAAUGUAAAUCGUGUAAUUUGUGGAAAAAUUCAUGGAGUGCCACAAUGGUGUCCGGAUGGUACAAAAUGUUGUCGAGUUCAUAGUUUUGAGAUCGAUUUUAAAAAUUACCGUUGUUGUCCUUGGUUGAAUGGAAUUUGUUGUUUUGACGGGAGUUGUUGUCGUUCUGGUUCUGGGUGUUUUGGGUUUGGCAAAUCGUGUUUUGUCCGAUGGAAUUCAACACAUGAAUGAAUAAAAUAAUGUAUAACCUUUUCCAUGAUUACGAAUUUCUAUAUCUUGACUGGUUGGAAUGGAUAUUUUUUCAUUUAUUUAGAUUUUCAUAUAUAACACAAAAAGUAAGGCAAUAUAUAUCUUGAAAUAAGUUA